AGUGAACGCUGGCGGUAGGCCUAACACAUGCAAGUCGAACGGCAGCACAGUAAGAGCUUGCUCUUACGGGUGGCGAGUGGCGGACGGGUGAGGAAUACAUCGGAAUCUACUUUUUCGUGGGGGAUAACGUAGGGAAACUUACGCUAAUACCGCAUACGACCUACGGGUGAAAGCAGGGGAUCUUCGGACCUUGCGCGAUUGAAUGAGCCGAUGUCGGAUUAGCUAGUUGGCGAGGUAACGGCCCACCAAGGCGAAGAUCCGUAGCUGGUCUGAGAUGGUGAUCAGCCACACUGGAACUGAGACACGGUCCAGACUCCUACGGAAGGCAGCAGUGGGGAAUAUUGGACAAUGGGCGCAAGCCUGAUCCAGCCAUACCGCGUGGGUGAAGAAGGCCUUCGGGUUGUAAAGCCCUUUUGUUGGGAAAGAAAAGCAGCAGGUUAAUACCCCGCUGUUCUGACGGUACCCAAAGAAUAAGCACCGGCUAACUUCGUG
rnacentral:rRNA from 1 species